AAUCGGGACAAUAAGGGCGCACGGUGGAUGCCUAGACACCAAAAGCCGAUGAAGGACGUAGCAGCCUGCGAUAAGCUUCGGAGAGGUGGCAAGCAACCUUUGAUCCGGAGAUUUCCGAAUGGGGAAACCCGUCUUGAUGGAAGAUCAGGACAUCAUGCACUGAAUACAUAGGUGUAUGAGGAUUACCCGGCGAAUUGAAACAUCUUAGUAGCCGGAGGAAAAGAGAGAAACAUAGUUAGUUAAUUAGUAAUUAGUUGAUUGAGUUAGUAGAUCGCAUUGCGCGACUAUUUUCCAGGUUAACUAGUUCACUAAUUAACUAACAUCAUUCCCUUAGUAGUGGCGAGCGAACAGGGAAAAGCCCAAACCAUAUUAAGCGUCCCCCACCCUUGUGCAUUGAUGUGCAUAAAGGUGGGGGACAAGGGAGCAAGCCUUUACUUGAUGUGGGGUAGUGAGUGAUUAUGUCUGGAGCUUGUAUACUUCAGGAUGGAGAGAAUAAUGGAACUUCCCUAGAAGAAUCCGUUGGAAAGCGGAGCCAAAGAAGGUGAUAGCCCUGUAAUUGAAAGGGGUUUCAGCUCCAUUGUAAUUUUCUCGAGUAGUACAGGACACGUGAAAUCCUGUGUGAAUCAGGGACGACUAUAACAACCCCCCACCUUUAUUUUUCUGAAAGAAAAGUAAAGGUGGGGGGUGUCCCAAGGCUAAAUACUUUUGGUGAUCGAUAGUGAACAAGUACCGUGAGGGAAAGGUGAAAAGCACCCCGGUUAGGGGAAUGAAAUAGUAUCUGAAACCAUGCGCCUACAAGGAGUCAACGCCAGUGCUGCGCACUGGAAUUUCUAAGCACCAAACACCAGAUAUCAAAUAAUAUCUAAUUUAUCAAAUUUCAAUAAUCAAAUCGUAUUUGAGCAUUUGAAAAUUUGGAUUUAAGAUUUAUUUGGGAUUUGGAUAUUGUAAUUUGGAAUUUCCAGCGUGUAGCGCUGGUUAUGGCGUGCCUAUUGAAGAAUGAACCAACGAGUUAGUUGGGUACAGUUUGGUUAAGCCCGAUUAGGGCGAAGCCGUAGUGAAAGCGAGCAUGAAUAAUGCGUUUUGAGAUAUAGUUUUUCGUCGCCACUUCUGGUGGCGAGAGACUAUACUCUUUCUAUUGUACUCACUAGACCCGAAGCCAGGUGAUCUAUCCAUGGCCAGGAUGAAGCGCAUGUAACAGUGCGUGGAGGUCCGAACCCACUCGCCGUGCAACACGAGGGGAUGAGCUGUGGAUAGUGGUGAAAUGCUAAUCGAACCUGGCAAUAGCUGGUUCUCCCCGAAAUAGCUUUAGGGCUAGCCUGGUGUAUUGCCUACUCCGAGGUAGAGCUACUGAAUGGAUGCGGAUGGUUUUACCUACUGUAUCCAACCAAACUCCGAAUGCGGAGUCAGGAAACACCAGAGUCAGACAGUGGGGGCUAAGCUCCAUGUGUCGAAAGGGAAACAGCCCGGAUCACCGUCUAAGGCCCCUAAAUUUCGAUUAAGUGUGAAAGGUGGUGAAACGACUUGGACAACUAGGAGGUUGGCUUAGAAGCAGCCAUCCUUUAAAGAAAGCGUAAUAGCUCACUAGUCAAGUUGUUCUGCGCCGAAAAUUUGCGGGGCUAAAUCGAAUGCCGAAGACGUGACCAUGUACCAGAGCUCGCUUUGCGAGCGAUCGGUACAUGGGGUAGGGGAGCGUUCCAUGUUCGUUGAAGUCGUUUCGUGAGGAACGGUGGAGAGCAUGGAAGUGAGAAUGUUGGUAUAAGUAGCAAAAAUCCGGGUGAGAACCCCGGACACCGGAAACCCAAGGUUUCCUGGGCAACGUAAAUCGACCCAGGGUUAGGCGGUCCUAAGCCAAAGCUGAAAGGCGUAGGCGAUGGACAGCUGGUUAAUAUUCCAGCCCUUCCUAAUGAUUGUUUUUUUCCGACGCGUGAGGUGAGUCUGAGCGGAUUCUUGGUUAUAUCCGUUCCUCCACUUUUGUAAAAAGGUGGGUGAGAAGAUGAAGUCUAGGCGGACUCGACUCAGGUAAUCCAAGCGCCAAGAAAAGGAAAAGAGCGCGUGUCAUUAGGAAUCCGUACCGCAAACCGACACAGGCGGGUAACCUCACUGGUGAGGUAAGGUGUACGAGAGAACCCUCGUUUAGGAACUCGGCAAAACAGCGGCCGUAACUUCGGGAUAAGGCCUUCCUCCUUCGCUCUUUGCUCCGCAAAGAGCUUCGGAGAACGUGUCCUCAUAGUAUUAAGAUUGUAGUACUAGGGGUCAUGUCUUUCGUAGCUCCGAACGGGGUGAGGAGCGAAGGAGGACGCAGCGAAUGAUUCCAAGCGACUGUUUACCAAAAACACAGGUCCCUGCUAAACCGUAAGGUGAUGUAUAGGGGCUGAUGCCUGGCCAGUGUCAGAACGUUAAGCUGAGGAGUGAGAGCUUCGAUGCUAAGCGCUGAUGAACGCCGGCGGUAACUAUAACCGUCCUAAGGUAGCGAAAUUCCUUGUCGGGUAAGUUCCGACCUGCACGAAUGGCAUAACGACUUGGAAACUGUCUCAACGAGGGACUCGGUGAAAUUGCAAGACCGGUAAAGAUGCCGGUUACCCAUGACUAGACGAAAAGACCCCGUGAAGCUUUACUACAACUUGAUAUUGAUAUAACGCUGGAUUUGUUUGAGCAUAGGUGGGAGACUUUGAUCUCUGGGCGCUAGCCCAGGGUGAGUCGCCAGUGAGAUACCACCCUUGUUCAAUGUUAUAUCUAACCUUCUACCUUAAAGAGGUAGGGGGACAGUGUCUGGUGGGUAGUUUGACUGGGGCGGUCGCCUCCCAAAAGGUAACGGAGGCGUUUACAAAGGUUGGCUAAGUCCCGAUGGAAACGGGAUGCGUCGUGUAAAGGCACAAGCCAGCUUUACUGCAAGGGCUGCAACCCAAGCAGUUACGAAAGUAGAACUUAGUGAUCCGACCGUGCGUAAUAGGACGGCGGAAGCUCAACGGAUAAAAGUUACUCCGGGGAUAACAGGCUUAUAGCGCCCAAGCGUCCACAGCGACGGCGCUGUUUGGCACCUCGAUGUCGGCUCAUCGCAUCCUGGGGGUGAAGAAGCUCCCAAGGGUUUGGCUGUUCGCCAAUUAAAGCGGUACGCGAGCUGGGUUCAGAACGUCGUGAGACAGUUCGGUCUCCUAUCUGUCAUGGGCGUUGGAUGUUUGACCAGAGAUUCUUCUCUAGUACGAGAGGACCGAGAAGAACGAACCUCUAGUGUACGAGCUGUCUGACCACAGGCAUAAGCUCGGUAGCUACGUUCGGCCAGGAUAAACGCUGAAAGCAUCUAAGCGUGAAGCCUCCUCCAAGAUAAGACAUCAUAGAUUCCAAGGAGAUUACUUGGUUGAUAGGCUCCAGGUGUAAGGCCCGUAAGGGUUUCAGCCGAGGAGUACUAAUAAAUCGUUUCCCGAUUUA
rnacentral:rRNA from 1 species